rnacentral:rRNA from 1 species
UACGAAGGGGGCUAGCGUUGUUCGGAAUUACUGGGCGUAAAGCGCACGUAGGCGGAUACUUAAGUUAGGGGUGAAAUCCCGGGGCUCAACCCCGGAACUGCCUUUGAUACUGGGUAUCUGGAGUCCGAGAGAGGUGAGUGGAGUUCCGAGUGUAGAGGUGAAAUUCGUAGAUAUUCGGAGGAACACCAGUGGCGAAGGCGGCUCACUGGCUCGGUACUGACGCUGAGGUGCGAAAGCGUGGGGAGCAAACAGG